rnacentral:rRNA from 1 species
AUUGAACGCUGGCGGCAGGCUUAACACAUGCAAGUCGAGCGGGGGAAGGUAGCUUGCUACUGGACCUAGCGGCGGACGGGUGAGUAAUGCUUAGGAAUCUGCCUAUUAGUGGGGGACAACAUCUCGAAAGGGAUGCUAAUACCGCAUACGUCCUACGGGAGAAAGCAGGGGAUCUUCGGACCUUGCGCUAAUAGAUGAGCCUAAGUCGGAUUAGCUAGUUGGUGGGGUAAAGGCCUACCAAGGCGACGAUCUGUAGCGGGUCUGAGAGGAUGAUCCGCCACACUGGGACUGAGACACGGCCCAGACUCCUACGGGAGGCAGCAGUGGGGAAUAUUGGACAAUGGGGGGAACCCUGAUCCAGCCAUGCCGCGUGUGUGAAGAAGGCCUUAUGGUUGUAAAGCACUUUAAGCGAGGAGGAGGCUACUCUAGUUAAUACCUAGGGAUAGUGGACGUUACUCGCAGAAUAAGCACCGGCUAACUCUGUGCCAGCAGCCGCCGUAA